GACGAACGCUGGCGGCGUGCUUAACACAUGCAAGUCGAACGGAAAGGCCCUGCUUUUGUGGGGUGCUCGAGUGGCGAACGGGUGAGUAACACGUGAUUAACCUGCCCUUGACUUUGGGAUAACUUCAGGAAACUGGGGCUAAUACCGGAUAGGAGCUCCUGCUGCAUGGCGGGGGUUGGAAAGUUUCGGCGGUUGGGGAUGGACUCGCGGCUUAUCAGCUUGUUGGUGGGGUAGUGGCUUACCAAGGCUUUGACGGGUAGCCGGCCUGAGAGGGUGACCGGCCACAUUGGGACUGAGAUACGGCCCAGACUCCUACGGGAGGCAGCAGUGGGGAAUAUUGCACAAUGGGCGGAAGCCUGAUGCAGCAACGCCGCGUGCGGGAUGACGGCCUUCGGGUUGUAAACCGCUUUCGCCUGUGACGAAGCGUGAGUGACGGUAAUGUGUAAAGAAGCACCGGCUAACUACGUG
rnacentral:rRNA from 1 species